CCCUCCAUCUCUAUCUGGAGAGUACAGAGGAAUUGCAUCUCUCAGAUCUUUCUCCUCAUUUCCGCAUCACCAACGAUGCAAUGCAGCACUUUGCUCGAUCGAGUCUUCUCUAAUGCUGCCACUUGAGCGUCACUACCAGCAUUUCUUUUCUCAGAAGCUUGAUUCACUGCAAAGUUUGAGAGCUAUAAGAUCGGUUUUGGAUUGAUAAGUGCAAGAUACCUGAGUAUUUCCAUUCCAUCUUUUUUGUCCGUUUUUGUUCUUUGUUUUUCUUUUGUAGAGUUCGUGCUUCUCGCGGACAGCCUGCACCUUGGUAGAAAGGAGACGCAAUAAAGCACGAGGAAAAAAGACGCUUCAAUCGUCUGUUUAUGUGUUGCUGUGUUGCCUUACCUGAACUUGAAUCCUCUACAAGUAGUCUCUUGGUGUAGCACUUUCAUUUUGUGGUCACAGGGAAAACUUGGAUGACUGGAGCUCGCUCUUAUCUGCCAUUGUCCCGGCAGUCCGGGGCUGUGAGGCCGUCUUCCACACAGCCUGCCCCUUCUUCUGGAAGUUUGACACCCCAGAUGAUGUGUUGGUCCCAGCAAUCACUGGAACGGAGAAUUUGAUCCGUGCUUGCAGCGAGGAGAAGAUCAAGGGAGUGGUGAUGACCUCCUCCGGCGCAGCGGUCAUGGUUGACCCGGAUCGUCCCGAGGACAAGGUGGUUGAUGAGAGCUGCUGGACGAACGUUGACCACUGCCGCAAAAUCGAGGCAAGUAAAUGAUAUCUGGAUUCAGGAAGUUUAUCUCCGAAAGAAGACUCACCCGGUAGGAGCGCGGCAUCUAUCCGGCUUUAAGCACACGUAGUAUUGUACCUGCAAGUGUCACUAAAAGUGGUAAGGAAGGAGCACGAAGCACACGCUCUGGAAACAUGACAUUUAUUCCCGGGCCGGGGAUCAAACUUGACUCUUUCGCCAACGCAACGAAGCCCCGUCGCUUUUUACUGUCUUCUCCAAUCCCUAGAGCACCGUGGACAGCAAAUGAGGCCUUCGGGCUCCAUAUCCCAUUUAAGAAGCGUGAGCUGCGAUGGUUGGACCUCAACAAACCGAUGAGAUCCCUUCUAGUUCUGACCUCGUCAAAGGAAGCUGUCAUGUCGCUCUUGUAGUCAUCUUGAGAAAGAAGCAAUCCGGCAAAUAGAUACAGAACAGUGACACGCAGUCAUUAGUGUA